CCAAUAGCGUAUAUUAAAGUUGUUGCAGUUAAAAAGCUCGUAGUUGAAUUUCGGGAUCAGUACGCUGGUCAUGCCUUUGGUAUGCACUGGUGUCACUGGUUUCUCCCUUCUGAAGAACCGUGAUGUCAUUAAUUUGGUGUCGCGGGGAAUCAGGACUGUUACUUUGAAAAAAUUAGAGUGUUUAAAGCAGGCUCACGCUUGAAUACAUUAGCAUGGAAUAAUGAAAUAGGACGUUUGACCCUAUUUUGUUGGUUUCUAGGAUCGACGUAAUGAUUAAUAGGGAUAGUUGGGGGCAUUAGUAUUCAAUUGUCAGAGGUGAAAUUCUUGGAUUUAUUGAAGACUAACUACUGCGAAAGCAUUUGCCAAGGAUGUUUUCAUUAAUCAAGAACGAAAGUUAGGGGAUCGAAGACGAUCAGAUACCGUCGUAGUCUUAACCAUAAACUAUGCCGACUAGGGAUCGGAUGAUGUUAAUUUUAUAAUGACUCAUUCGGCGCCUUACG
rnacentral:rRNA from 2 species